rnacentral:misc_RNA from 1 species
UUUAGCUCCUAUUAACUAGAUAUAGGAUGGAAGCGUCACCUUGUCCUCGUGGUAAACAUCAUCCAUGUGCAUUUUCCUGGCCGACGGAGAACAUUGAUGUGUGAUGUGUUUGUAUUCCUUUUCGUUUUGGACUUUCACUUGCGAGAGGCAUGUCGAAGACUGGGUGUGCUGCAACCGAAGUUCCUAAGUGCAAAAAAACUGUGUGUAUAUUAAAUAUUCUAUGAAUAUUCAGUGAUGCCUGGACUAUACGUUGAAUAUUGCUGGACAUUCUGCAGGAGUUGCGUAUGUUAAAAUGUACAUUUGUUUACCUGAACUUUCUUUACUCUUUCAAAUGUAACAAAUCACAUCUCGUAUAAUAAAAUUUCAUUACCACGUUA